rnacentral:rRNA from 1 species
UACGUAGGGGGCAAGCGUUGUCCGGAUUUAUUGGGCGUAAAGCGCGUGUAGGCGGCCAGGUAGGUCCGCUGUGAAAACUCGAGGCUCAACCUCGAGACGUCGGCGGAAACCAUCUGGCUAGAGUCCGGAAGAGGAGAGUGGAAUUCCUGGUGUAGCGGUGAAAUGCGCAGAUAUCAGGAAGAAUAUCCGUGGCGAAGGCCGCUCUCUGGGACGGUACUGACGCUGAGACGCGAAAGCGUGGGGAGCGAACAGG